AUUGAACGCUGGCGGCAUGCCUUACACAUGCAAGUCGAACGGUAACAGGUUAAGCUGACGAGUGGCGAACGGGUGAGUAAUACAUCGGAACGUGCCCAGACGUGGGGGAUAGCUCGGCGAAAGCCGGAUUAAUACCGCAUAAGCUCUGAGGAGGAAAGCGGGGGACCGUAAGGCCUCGCGCGUUUGGAGCGGCCGAUGGCAGAUUAGGUAGUUGGUGGGGUAAAGGCUUACCAAGCCUACGAUCUGUAGCUGGUCUGAGAGGACGACCAGCCACACUGGGACUGAGACACGGCCCAGACUCCUACGGGAGGCAGCAGUGGGGAAUUUUGGACAAUGGGGGCAACCCUGAUCCAGCCAUGCCGCGUGCGGGAAGAAGGCCUUCGGGUUGUAAACCGCUUUUAGCCGGGACGAAAGCGCCACGGAUAACAGCCGUGGCGGUUGACGGUACCGGCGGAAUCAGCACCGGCUAACUACGUGCCAGCCGCCGCGGUAAAAC
rnacentral:rRNA from 1 species